rnacentral:rRNA from 1 species
UACGUAGGGGGCUAGCGUUAUCCGGAAUUACUGGGCGUAAAGGGUGCGUAGGUGGUUUCUUAAGUCAGAGGUGAAAGGCUACGGCUCAACCGUAGUAAGCCUUUGAAACUGGGAAACUUGAGUGCAGGAGAGGAGAGUGGAAUUCCUAGUGUAGCGGUGAAAUGCGUAGAUAUUAGGAGGAACACCAGUUGCGAAGGCGGCUCUCUGGACUGUAACUGACACUGAGGCACGGAAGCGUGGGGAGCAAACAGG